CGUCACGGACCCGACCACUUGCCCGAUUCCGGGCCAUGGCACCAACCCCAUCGCCAGCGGCUCCCCCGAUGU
rnacentral:sRNA from 1 species